rnacentral:rRNA from 1 species
UAGGGUUUGAUUAUGGCUCAGGACGAACGCUGGCGGCGUGCUUAACACAUGCAAAGUCAAAGGAGAACAUUUUCUUCGGAAAAUAAGUAAACUGGCGAACGGGUGAGUAACACGUAGGUAACCUGCCCUAGAGACUGGGAUAACCCCGAGAAAUCGGAGCUAAUACCAGAUAAUGCAGCUACUCCUUUGGGACGUAGUUGUUAAAGCGGCCUUCGGGUCGCACUUUGGGAUGGGCCUGCGUCUGAUUAGCUAGUUGGUAAGGUAAUGGCUUACCAAGGCGAUGAUCGGUAGCUGGUUUGAGAGGAUGAUCAGCCACACUGGGAUUGAGAUACGGCCCAGACUCCUACGGGAGGCAGCAGUGGGGAAUAUUGCGCAAUGGGCGAAAGCCUGACGCAGCAACGCCGCGUGAUUGAUGAAGCUUUUCGGAGUGUAAAGAUCUGUCAUGAGGAAGAACAGUCCUGAUAUAAAUAAUAUCAGGAUUUGACGGUACCUCAUAAGAAAGCACCGGCUAACUUAGUGCCAGCCGCCGCGGUAAUACA